UAGGGAAUCUUCCGCAAUGGACGCAAGUCUGACGGAGCAACGCCGCGUGAGUGAAGAAGGAUUUCGGUUCGUAAAACUCUGUUGUUAGAGAAGAACAGCGCAUAGAGUAACUGUUAUGCGUGUGACGGUAUCUAACCAGAAAGCCACGGCUAACUACGUGCCAGCAGCCGCGGUAAUACGUAGGUGGCAAGCGUUGUCCGGAAUCAUUGGGCGUAAAGGGUACGUAGGCGGGUAAGCAAGUUAGAAGUGAAAUCCUGUAGCUCAACUACAGUAAGCUUUUAAAACUGCUCAUCUUGAGAUAUGGAAGGGAAAGUGGAAUUCCUAGUGUAGCGGUGAAAUGCGCAGAUAUUAGGAGGAAUACCGGUGGCGAAGGCGACUUUCUGGCCAUAAUCUGACGCUGAGGUACGAAAGCGUGGGUAGCAAACAGG
rnacentral:rRNA from 1 species